rnacentral:rRNA from 1 species
UACGAAGGGGGCUAGCGUUGUUCGGAAUUACUGGGCGUAAAGCGUGCGCAGGCGGCUUCUCAAGUCAGGGGUGAAAGCCCAGAGCUCAACUCUGGAAUUGCCUUUGAGACUGAGUGGCUUGAGUACGAGAGAGGUGAGUGGAAUUCCCAGUGUAGAGGUGAAAUUCGUAGAUAUUCGGAAGAAACACCAGUGGCGAGGCGACUCACUGGACACGUAUUGACGCUGAGGUGCGAAAGCGUGGGGAGCAAACAGG